rnacentral:misc_RNA from 1 species
GUUCGAUACCUGCGUUUCUUAUGAUGAGCAUUGUGGCAAGAAUGGAAGGUUAUAUGGAGCGAUUGAUACGCUAAAUAAAGCGUUUUUAAACAUGAAAAAUGAUUUGUUUUCUACUUUUGAGUUUCAGGACGGUGGUUAAAUCGAAUCUUUUUGACAGAUUUUGAGGUUUAGCUUCAAGUAGACGUAUGAAAUAUACAUACAAGUUACUUACUCGUACUGCGCAUUUACUGGUCAAAAUCCAGAAGGUGUUCAUCAAAGGUGCUAUAACAAAUAAACCUGAACGAAACAAUGUUUUCCCUUUGCGCCAAAAAUGCUUUGCUAGCAACAUAUUAAAAAGAAAGAG